rnacentral:rRNA from 1 species
GUGGGGAAUAUUGGACAAUGGGCGCAAGCCUGAUCCAGCAAUGCCGCGUGCAGGAAGAAGGCCUUCGGGUUGUAAACUGCUUUUGUACGGAACGAAACGGUCCUGGUUAAUACCUGGGGCUAAUGACGGUACCGUAAGAAUAAGCACCGGCUAACUACGUGCCAGCAGCCGCGGUAAUACGUAGGGUGCGAGCGUUAAUCGGAAUUACUGGGCGUAAAGCGUGCGCAGGCGGUGCUGUAAGACAGGCGUGAAAUCCCCGGGCUCAACCUGGGAAUUGCGCUUGUGACUGCAGUGCUGGAGUACGGCAGAGGGGGAUGGAAUUCCGCGUGUAGCAGUGAAAUGCGUAGAUAUGCGGAGGAACACCGAUGGCGAAGGCAGUCCCCUGGGCCUGUACUGACGCUCAUGCACGAAAGCGUGGGGAGCAAACAGGAUUAGAUACCCUUGUAGUCC